rnacentral:rRNA from 1 species
UACGUAGGGUGCAAGCGUUAAUCGGAAUUACUGGGCGUAAAGCGUGCGCAGGCGGUUUUGUAAGUCUGUCGUGAAAGCCCCGGGCUCAACCUGGGAAUUGCGAUGGAGACUGCAAGGCUUGAAUCUGGCAGAGGGGGGUAGAAUUCCACGUGUAGCAGUGAAAUGCGUAGAGAUGUGGAGGAACACCGAUGGUGAAGGCAGCCCCCUGGGUCAAGAUUGACGCUCAUGCACGAAAGCGUGGGGAGCAAACAGG